GAAGGCUGGGAUUGAUUUUGGGGGUAUUUGCCUCCAAAUUUUAGGAAUAAGGGGCCAAAAAGGGGCAAAAAACAAGCAUUUUUCUAGUUUCAGGACAAUAACUUGUGUGUAAGUGUAUGGAUCUUUAUGAAAUUGUACUACAAGGUUCCAUAUCACAAAGGGAAAGCUGGGUUUGUGUUUGGGGGUAAUUGCCCUAAAUGUUUAGGAAUUUGGGGCCAAAAAGGGGCAAAAAAAACCAAGCAUUUUUCUAGUUUCCAGACAAUAACUUGUGUAUAAGUGUAUGGAUCUCUCUGAAAUUGUACUGCAAGGUACCAUACCACAAAGGGAAGGCUGGGAUUGAGUUUUGGGUGAUGAAUCAUAAGGGGGUUCCAAAAAAUGGGGGGGGGAUUUUUUUUUCCAUUUUUUCCUUUUUUUUUCUUUAAAAUUUUCCAUUUUAAAUUGGUUAUUUCUGAUUUAUAUAUAAAAGCAAAUAAUAAUGAUAUGGUUUGAAUAGGUAAAUUAAAAUUUUUUAAGUUCUUAGACCACAUUCAUUCUGUGUCAGAAACCUGUGCUGUGUCAAAUAUUUAAUCACAAUCCAAAUUCAGUGUUGUAUCAAGCUUGAAUGUUGUGUCCAUACUUGCCCCAACUAUUCAGGGUUUGACCUCUGCGGUCGUAUCAAGCUGCGCCCAGCGGAGCAUUUUAUUCAUUUAAUCAGAUAUUAUAAGCAUAUGUCUACUUGUUGGUGUAUGGCAUGACUGCAAGGUGUCAUAUAAAAAUAAGAAGAUGUCUGUCUGCCAAGUUUAAUAUUACUGUGACCUCAUUUUCAUAGAAUAUUGAUAAUAUCAAGCAAAAAUGAUGAGCAAGACAAGAUACAAAUGAUCCAAAAUUGUCAGUUGCCUACUCAUUAUGUAAUAGUAGUUAUUGUCAUUAAAUGAUAAUGUUUACCCUUUUAUGUGUAGGGCAAGAACAUUAAAGAUAAAUGGAAACUAUAAACAAAAGAAACUAUCAACAAAAAUAGAUUUACAGACGUCAACAAAGCCUAAAUGGUCAGACAUCUUGGUUUUCAUGAUCAUCAUUCAACAGGUCAAUACUGAACAGCAAACUUAAAGUUGAUAUUUUUCUACAUAGUGUGACUUUUUUAUUAAUUUGAAAUGGAAUGUGUUUUUUUUUCCUACAUAAGAAAGAGGAAAUUUCAACAUAAUGAC